rnacentral:piRNA from 1 species
GAGAGCUUUUGAUAACCUUUUUUUGAUGC